CAAUAGCGUAUAUUAAAGUUGUUGCGGUUAAAAAGCUCGUAGUUGGAUUUCUGCUGAGAACGACCGGUCCGCCCUUUGGGUGUGUAUCUGGCUCUUUCUUGGCAUCUUCUUGGUGAACGUUGCUGCACUUGACUGUGUGGAGCGCUACCCAGGACUUUUACUUUGAGGAAAUUAGAGUGUUUCAAGCAGGCAUACGCCUUGAAUACAUUAGCAUGGAAUAAUAAGAUAGGACCUCGGUUCUAUUUUGUUGGUUUCUAGAGCUGAGGUAAUGAUUAAUAGGGAUAGUUGGGGGCAUUCGUAUUUAACUGUCAGAGGUGAAAUUCUUGGAUUUGUUAAAGACGAACUACUGCGAAAGCAUUUGCCAAGGAUGUUUUCGUUG
rnacentral:rRNA from 1 species